GGGGAAUUUUGGACAAUGGUGGCAACCCUGAUCCAGCCAUGCCGCGUGAGUGAAGAAGGCCUUCGGGUUGUAAAGCUCUUUCGGACGGAAAGAAAUCGCCGCCUCUAACAUAGGCGGUGGAUGACGGUACCGUAAGAAGAAGCACCGGCUAACUACGUGCCAGCAGCCGCGGUAAUACGUAGGGUGCGAGCGUUAAUCGGAAUUACUGGGCGUAAAGCGUGCGCAGGCGGUUUGGUAAGACAGGUGUGAAAUCCCCGGGCUUAACCUGGGAACUGCGCUUGUGACUGCCAGGCUAGAGUACGGCAGAGGGGGGUGGAAUUCCACGUGUAGCAGUGAAAUGCGUAGAGAUGUGGAGGAACACCGAUGGCGAAGGCAGGUUACUGGACCAUUUCUGACGCUAAGGCACGAAAGCGUGGGGAGCGAACC
rnacentral:rRNA from 1 species